rnacentral:sRNA from 19 species
CAAUAACGGGGUCAUCCCGGCACUUAUCAGGCUGAUAACGGUAUACCGAUGGACUGAUGCCAACAACGCGGCAGGCAAGUCGGAUACUGGUUUGAUGUACAUUGAGCACAUAAUCAACCAGUUCACGCCUGACCGCUGGCUUC